rnacentral:rRNA from 1 species
GAUGAACGCUAGCGGUAGGCUUAACACAUGCAAGUCGAGGGGUAACAGGGUAGCAAUACUGCUGACGACCGGCGCACGGGUGAGUAACGCGUAUGCAAUCUGCCUUUAACUGGAGAACAGCUUCGAGAAAUCGGAAUUAAUACUCCAUAACAUUAACGAAUCGCAUGGUUUGUUAAUUAAAGCUCCGGCGGUUAAAGAUGAGCAUGCGUGACAUUAGUUUGUUGGUGAGGUAACGGCUCACCAAGACUACGAUGUCUAGGGGGUCUGAGAGGAUGGUCCCCCACACUGGUACUGAGACACGGACCAGACUCCUACGGGAGGCAGCAGUGAGGAAUAUUGGUCAAUGGGCGCAAGCCUGAACCAGCCAUACCGCGUGAAGGAUGAAGGCUCUAGUAGUUGUAAACUUCUUUUAUAUGGGAAGAAACCUACUCUCGUGAGAGUAGUUGACGGUACCAUAAGAAUAAGCACCGGCUAACUCCGUGCCAGCAGCCGCGGUAAAGUA